rnacentral:lncRNA from 1 species
GGCCGGCCUGCAGGACAGCUGUAGCUGUAGCGGCCAAUUAAACCAGGCCCUGUCUUACUGUUCUGGGAGUUGCGGGGGAUCGUCAGGCCAUUUCCGAUCUGUAUCACAAAGCUCUUCUAAGCUUUGCUACAUCUUUUUCGUCCACUAAUGCAAGAAGAGAAUGGACUUAUUCUAUACUUAAUAUUUUGAAUAAAUAAAAAGAUACACG